AUUUUUUUUGUUUAGAGGCCUUUGCCCUCUUAGAUGGGUGCCCUCUUUUCUUCGCUGAGUUAGAUUUGUUCUUUCGUACCUACGCGACAAGCUCACACAACACAGUGUCACGUACAGUAUCAUCCAAAUCUACCUCAGUUGUGUCUUUAACUAGAUGGGAGAGAAGCUUGCCUUCAUUAUUGGCAUCAGCUUCCUCAUCCUCCUCAUCUGACACAAGAGGGUCCACGAACUUCGACAACUUAGGAGCAACCGUAAGCCGGUCGAACUCCACUUGUUUAAGAGCCCUAACCGAAAAAUCCACUUCUUUCUCGUUGCGUCCUAAUGAAACUCCAAGGCUAGUAAUAUUUGAAGAUAUUUUGGAAUUAUCAAAAGACAAAAAUGAUUGACGAGAAGAGGUACCUUCAAAGUCAAGGUUGCGGGCCGCCGUUCUACGCAUGGCCUUCACCAUCGAGUCCUCGUCGGAGGCUGUUGUACCAUCAACACCUGUUGUACCAUCAACACCGAUGGCGUGCCGACCGCUGCGCCUCAGCGAUGGUGGAGUGAGGCCGACAAUAGUGGCAGUCCCGAUGGCCCCGAGUGCCGGAGUAGACGGGCGCGGCAACGAUGAAGAAGACCGUGAGGGUUGCAUGUCAUCCUCCGGCUCCACAAGUACGUGUCACUUAGAAAGGUUUGGCCAUUAAUUAGCUGUAUAAUUUCUUGCUAAUGGUUAGAAAAUCACAGCCAUAAGAAAGUAACUUUGCAGAUGAACCCAAUAGUUGUGUUUUUAUGUUACAUCACUCAUCAGUAGGGGCAGAUCCAGCUCAGCGGGCCGCCCCAGGCCCCCUAUGUAUACUGUGCUACAAUAUACAAAGGAUUUGGGCCUCACGCCCCGGGCCCCCUAUGUAUACUGUGGUAUAUUCCCUCCGUAAACUAAUAUAAGAGUGUUUAGAAUACUAAAGUAGUGAUCUAAACGCUCUUAUAUUAGUUUACAUAGGGAGUAAUAUACAAAGGAUUUGGGCCUCACGCCCCGGGCCUCGCCCCCAUCCGUCGUCACUGCUCAUCGGGAUCAGCCAGUUGUAGUAUGGGAAACAUGAUCAUCUUGGCAUGAGUGAGGAACUCCCCUCCAGCGCUCAGCUGCUUGGCAUGGAACCCAUGAUCACAGUUGACUGCGAUGUAGCAGAGCAUUUCCAUCCAUACCGUUGCGAUCAUCUCCCACCGAUCAGCAGCAGCUACCUCGCCGUUGAGCAGAAAAGCCACAUCAGUAGCUAGACUAGCUAGAUGGCCAACUGAACCUUCAGAGUGAAAAUCGUUACCGUAGAAUCUCUGGAGGAGGACCCUCUUAUCAUAGUUGGCAUAGAAUCUCUGGAGGAGGUCCCUCUUAUCAUAGUUGGCAUCUUUGCAAAACGCGCCAAUCCACUUUAUACAUUCUUCGAAAAAUAAACACCCGUCAGCAUCAACCAUCAAGUUGCACUUGUAGACCAGGUGCAUGAUGUAAUUGGACACGUGUUGACUGCAGGUUCUAAGCUUAGAGGGCGUCUCGUCCCGCACCAGGCAUAUGUCUGUCACAAGGUGCCAAAGAAAGGCACUUGAUACAAGAUCCCUAUCUUUGAAGAUGCCUCGGACUUUCUGUUUAGCUGCACCAAACCCAGAGGAGGAAGAAGGAAUAUAAGCUGCCCACUCGGCAGUGAAGCUGCUGAAGUACAACUUCCAGUGAUUGUCACACAGCUUAUCAAGGAACACCUUCUUUACCUCUGGGGAGAUGGCAACAUGUUUGGUUGUGUGGUGGUAUUGCUUGAUGCCGAUACGCCACAUCAUCCGUUUCAGCCAUCCAUAUUCCCUUGUUGCCUUCUCCUUUUGGAUGAUUUCAUCAAUAAAGUUAUACUGCCACAGCUUACCUGACCACUCCAAUCUGUUGCUUUUCGGUGCUGGGCGGAGGCGCUUGAGGAUGCUAAGCACAAUUCUUGGACUAUGGCCUCCGCUUGGUCCUGUGCAUACGUUGGAUGGCGAAUAUGAUGUCAUGAGCCACAUCAAUAUAGAGGAUAUCUCAAACGCCACUGCACCCACAAGCAAUAUGUAAGAGAUGGCAACAUCAGCUACUCUGUAGUAGUACUUCACAGCUUCUGAUCGCCCCCUCCCUCCCUUAUGAUGAACAGCAAACAGAGCGAGAGCUGUAGAGUUUAUGACAAGGAUGGUGAGACGGUGCAACACACCAUCGAGGCUUCCAAACUUGGUGUACAAGAAGUCAUAGAUCAAUGAGAGUUGGGUCUCAGCCAACUUGUAUGCCAAGUUAACUCCCUCGUCUGACUUGAGACGAUCUCGUUCCUCCUGACCUAAACCAGUCCCGCGAAGCCGUUUACUAGUCCUGUUCAUGAAAUAGUUCAUGCUAUUAUAAAACAUGUCAUGAGCCACAUCCUCCAUGUCAGAAGAGAACAAUGACCAGAUAGGAGCAUGUGUGUCAAGCCUGACCCCCAGGGUUCUUUUCUGCCCACACAACGGACCCCAAGGCCUGCUUAUAGGUCCCCAUGAGCCGGCUCUCCCAAGUAUCCAUAUUCUCUCCAUAUAUUUGGCUGUCCCAGAGAUGAAGAUUAGCACCAUGGGAGCCACAAGUUGCUUGUCCCCUUGCCAUUGCUUGCCCACGACGUAGAUGGCCAGUGCCACCUGGGUGGUGAGGUUCAGCAGGUGCCUCUUCCACAGUGCGCAGUCCUCCAUGGAGAAGGCUGUGAUGGUGUCCUGCCCUCCGAGGUGGAGCAACAUGAACGGUGCCCAGAAGAGCACCAGUGAGUCGUCGCCUCCAACACGUGUGAGGCGGCCGAGAACGAAGACCGCGACGGUGUCCGCCAACAGGUAGGCAAGCCACAGCAGCAGGCUGAGAAUGCGAGAGCGAUGGCGCUUCCGGAGCCCCGCGAAGAAGAGGAGGAAGACUUGCAGGGAGAAGCUCACAAGCACCAAGCACUGGAUCUCCCACUCAUUCCAGAGCUGCUGGAUGCUCGCUACUGUCAGUCUGCCAAGAAGCUAAAAUACUUUAACUUGCUCCAAACAGAAUCAUCUUUAACAAAAAUAAAUUAUGUUGAUACACUGUAUUUAAUUUUUGAGACCGUCCAUUUAGUGAGAAAUUAUUUUGCAAUCGUCCAGCUUUUCUGUGAUGUUUCAGUUCUUACGCACAAAUUAGCGCUUGGGUUUAUUCAUAUUGCAUGCUACAUAAUUGAAGAUAAACAACUCCCCCAGACUCUACAGAUACGUCAUUUACUGAAAAUACCAGAUGCGCACGUAUGAAAUGCACCUAGUUUCCGAAGCCCCAUGGCCCCGUUUCAUUACCGGAAUAUUGGAAAGGGAGGUUCAGUAGUAGUACAUGUGAAGAGUAAAGCAGAAAGAAAAGAAAAUCCAAGCAGUAGCAACACACCACAUUCAGCAGCACCCAGACACCAAAAAGGGGGUUCAAUAUAGUUUAAAAAAAUGUACAUAACCUAAUUAUUACACUAGUUUUGUCUAUACUUCGAAUUACGUACCUGUUGUGUUGAGCUCCGGGAGGGUAGCCAUACUGGACAUAGAUAGAGUGUUGAUGAUCCUUCAACAUCCUCAUGUUGCUCAAACAGAGGAACGCUCAGAACAGGGCCAUAUAUAUGAGGGCACACCUAGAGGAUUGCAUUAAACUAAUGGAAAUGAUCCCAAAGCCAGUAGGGUGUGCAAGGUCUCUGCUAGCUUUUCUUUGCUUGCAGUUGGAAACGAUGCAAGAUGCUUAUACUCUAGAGUGUUUGUGUCUUUCUUUUGCUUGCAGUUUGAGACAAUGCAACAUUCUUCUUGUCAAUUGCCGGAAAACAUAACAGGUUCUCAUACUCCAGGCUCUUCACUUUUCUUGGAGUUGAAAACAAAUUGAAGAGGAUAAAUUUCAGAACCUGAAUGGAGAUGCUGUCUCGGCAAAAAAUUUAACGUGACAUGGUAGCGUCAAUUGUUUAGCCUACAAAAAGAGCUAAGCAGAAAGGAAAAAACAUGGUCUCUCAGCAUCCAAUCCUCAUGAGGAGAUUUUGAAUUUGCGUGCAAUAACUACCACUUGAGUUUAUUUUUAUUUUAUUAUAGAUAAUUGAAGAUAAAGAACUCCCCCGGAGUCUACAGAUACAUUAUUUACAAAAAAUACCAGAAGCAUGUGCAAAUACCAGAAAAAUAUGUGCAUAUAACUUGAGAAAUGCAAGUAGUUCUUUUUUCAUACGAAGCCCCAGGUUUUCUUACCAAAAUAAUGAAAGGGCGGUUCAGUACAUGCAAAAGGUAAAGCAGAAAGAAGAAAAAUAUCCAGAGAGUAACAACACGCCGCAUUAGCUGCCAGGAACCAAAUAGUGAUGCAAUCUAAUUUAAAAAUCACCUAAUUUGCACAAUACUUUUGUCUAUACGUUGAAUCACGUACCUGCUGUGUUGGGCUUCAGGAGGGGAAAAGUGCUGCAGAUAGACUCGAACUAAGGACUAUGAUGAUCCUUUCGCAUCCUCAUGUUGGUCAAACACAGCUCAAACUAGCUCGAUUGAGUGGGGAGAAUGGAUUGAUUAGACAAAUAUAGUAGAUAGGGAUAUCAUAAAUUACUGUGCGUGUCUGAUCUGUUUAUAGUACUCAUAUUUCAAAUCAGUAUAGAUAGGGCCAUAUAUAUGAGGGCACAACAAUCUGGAGGAUUGCAGCAAAAUAAUGGAAUUGAUCCCUGCUGUCUUUGCUUCCCUUUGCUUGCAGUUGGAGACGGCGCAAGAUUCUACAGUCUAGAGUCUUUGCUUUGCUUGAAGGUUGAGACAAUGCAACAUCCUUCUAGUCAACUGACGAGAAAAGAACAGAUUCAGAUAGUCUAGGGUGUUUGCUUGGCUUGGACAUGGAGACGAAUGAAGAGGCUGAAUCAACUGCAGGGCAUGUGUGUUCAAUCAGCAACACAUAAGAGCAUGUUAAAUAAACCACACACAAGAACACUAUGAAAUUACCUAUGUCAUGAACAAAAAAAUAUGUUGAGAAGAACAUGAUCACCAACGUUUAUAACAUUGGCUAUCAAACAUUAUAAUAUACAAAAUUAGGCAAUAUUCUUCACCAUUUUGAUUCCUAGCACUGUGAUUUAUAUAUUUUUUCAGGUAUAUUCUCAUGUAAAUGAGUGGUCAAAAUUGUACAACCACCGUUCCGAAUUACUUGACUUAGAUUUUUCUAGAUACGGAUGUAUCUGGACACGUUUUGGAUACAUCCGUAUGUAGACAAAUCUGAGUCAACUAAUUCGGGGCGGAGGGAGUAUAUAUUUAAGAGGAUGUUAAAUUUGUUAAAUGACAUGCAACGAUACAUAGAAACUCUAGUCGCGCAAAUGCACAUCACACUACUAGUUGUAGAUAAAGAGCUCUGAUCCCCCAGCCUCUAUAUAGAUACGUAAUAAUACCAGAUGCACAUGCAUAUAAUUUAAGAAAUGCACCAAAUUUUUUAAUCCAUAUAGCCCCAUAGCCCCAGGUUGCAUUACCAAAAUAACAGAACAGCGGCUCAGUACAUGCGAAGAGUAAAGCUUCAUCCAAACAGCAGCAAGCAUUCAGCUGCCGCAAGGCCCAAAAUAACGGUUCAAUGUAAUAAUAAAAAUAUUACCUAAUUUAUACAAUAGUUUUGUUUAUCUUUGACUUGUGUACCUGCUGUGUUGAGCUUUGGGGACGGUAGCUGUGCUGGAGAUGAUCCCCCAGCAUCCUCAUGUUGGCCAAACAGAGGAACACUCAAACACUAUGGAUAGAUUAGAAAAAUACCUGAGGGCGAUAUGAUCAGUAUGCAUAUGUGACUUGUUUAUAGUACUCAUAUGUCAGUAUAAAUAGGGCGUGCAUGAGGGAACACCUGUAGAUUGCAGCAACAUAAUGGAAUUGAUCCCAAAGCCUGCAGGGCAUGGCAGGUCUCUGCUGGCUUCCCUUUGCUUUCCUUCGCUUUGCUUGCAAUUGGAGGCGAUGAGAUGCUUACUUCCAUAGUCUAGAGUCUUUGCUUUGCUUGCAGUUGGAGACGGUGCACACGAUUCUUUUAGUGAAUUGCCGAAAAGAAGAACAGUAUCUCAUUGUCGUGUGGCUGCUCACCUUUGUUUUCCUUUUUCCAUCCAUUUGGCCCGAAACUUGAUUUUUCAUUUGCCUUCUAUUUUCUUCCAAGGAUCUAAGUUUAAACACAUCCUUCAACUGGCAAUAAACACCAGAACAGUGUGGUCAGCACUAAAAUUAGUGUUAAAUGGUGGGUUCUGUUGUGCAUUUCAUUACCUCAUUGGGAGAGAAAAGAAUCUACUACAUUCAGAAAAAAAAACAAGCAGUCAUCAGAUUGAGCACUCUAACUGCAGAUAGCUAAUGAACACUUACGCAGCUAACUGUGUGAUAGAGUCUAUAGCAACAGCCCACAUGUCUGAAAUGCAGAAUAUCCCUUAAGUAUAACAGACCUUCUUGCCAAAAGCAAAGGAACUGAAUCAUAUGACACCAUUUUAAAGCAAGCAGAAGCACAGCGAGAAAAGGCGUGCCAUCAAAUCUCAGAAGUUUGCAAAGAAGCAAUGUAAAAAAAAACAGCCACAUCAUCAAAUGCAUAUACCGUGGACAAACAAAUGCCAGCCUACAAUUAUUAUCAGUCACUCUAGCCAGCAUUGCUAAUUUGGUCCUAAACAUCACUUGCUAGCAGAUAGGCAAUUCAACCUUUCUGUGGGAACCAUAGCUAAUUUGUUGAAACAGAAAACAGUAAACCUAGCGUACACUCACAGUUGCCUCAUGGCUUCCAUGCACAUAAUGUAUGACAUAUCAAACGAUGGCUUGAAUAGUCAGAGAUCCAAGUGCGUUGAAAUUACCACUUUUCUAAUUAUAAACACAUAAGCAUUCCAAAUUCCUUGCAUACCUAUUGUAUCAGAUCGUGACCAGCAACCGGAUCAGACCACCACUCAACUCCAGCACGAAGGUACAACCACUAGUGUUGGCCACCAUCACCAUGGCCCUGAAGGGCAAUAUUUUAACCAGAUGUGAAAGGUUUCUUAGGAUAACUUAUAGAGAAGAAUAACAGUAUGAGCACAACUUAUAAUGCAUGUACGAAAAUGAGCAUUAGGGCCUACGGGGCAGUUUGGCACUGCCAAGCUUUACUGUGGAACCUAUUUAAAUAUAUUUCUAAGAUGGGGUUACAAAUUAGUGAGUAUGAAUAGAAGGAAAAGAAAGCAUAAAAGAUGAACAUGGAAGUCAAUGUUCUAUAGCAAGAUGCCUUUCCAUGUGCCUUGAUAUGUCAUUUUAAUUUGAAAUCACUUGUAAAUCUUUUGCCAAAUGCUGAGAACGGGCUCACAUGAUUAUUUUCUACAUCACGUGAUUUGAAGGGUGCAUGUAAGUUAAAUCCAAAGAGAAGGCCUGAAAUUCAGAGGUAUUGUGAUGCAACAUGUACCAAAAUGGAAGGAUUCACCAAUAAGAAUCCAUGAUCAUUUACACUACUUUUUGUUUUGUCACUUGCAGAUAUGCAAACAGGAAAGAUGUUACAUCGUGGAAAUCACGAAGUUCUACAAUUAACAAUAGUCCAGGAUAGCAAUUGAACUCAGUUUACAAACAAAAACUAGCUCAAAGUAUCAGAUGAAGUUUCAUUAAUUUCAUUUAAUCAAAUCAACGGAACAUGUUGAGUUAGAUAAAAUUAGCAUCCCACUACUUAGUUCUGCACCAUUAAACAGAAGAACACUAUAACGUGAGCUGUAUUUUGAGAACUAAAAAAAUGCAAUACAAACUUUGUGAAGCCAUACCUUACGACAGCCUGGAUGUGGGCAAAUAUAAUCCUUUGCCCAUUGUCCUGUGUGAAUAAGAUGACGCACCUUCAAAUUUCUACAGAAAAAAAUUCACCAUGUGUGCCACAACAUGAUACCUUUCCAUGUUGAGUUCCUUGGCAUAGGCAGUCGGUAUAAAUCACCACUUGAAUAAGCAGAAACGGAAACAUCUAGCUACUUCAUCACCAUCCAGACAAGAUUUACUACCACACGGUGGAGGGCAGAUAUAUUACAUAAAUGGACCAUCUCAACAAAAUGACCAAACAACAUCAGUAAGUGUCUGUUCACAUCCGCGCAAUCUAAUUCUACCAUAAUUAUAGCACCCACUUAGUUCCAUUCGUUGCUAGUUUUCAGCAUGGGCAUACACCAAACUUACUAAAAGGAAGCAGACAACCACAUCUAAACAACCUAGGGCACACCCUCCAGCGGAAUGUCAGUAAACAGGGAAAAUGAUGAAUGUCCAGCUA
rnacentral:lncRNA from 1 species